UACGGAGGGGGCUAGCGUUGUUCGGAAAUACUGGGCGUAAAGCGAACGUAGGCGGCUUGGCAAGUCAGGUGUGAAAUCCCGGAGCUUAACUCCGGAACUGCAUUUGAAACUGCUAGGCUAGAGUGAAGUAGAGGCUGGCGGAAUUCCUAGUGUAGAGGUGAAAUUCGUAGAUAUUAGGAAGAACACCGGUGGCGAAGGCGGCCAGCUGGGCUUUUACUGACGCUAAAGUGCGAAAGCGUGGGGAGCAAACAGG
rnacentral:misc_RNA from 1 species